UACGGAAGGCAGCAGUGGGGAAUAUUGCACAAUGGGCGCAAGCCUGAUGCAGCCAUGCCGCGUGUAUGAAGAAGGCCUUCGGGUUGUAAAGUACUUUCAGUCGUGAGGAAGGUGUUAAGGUUAAUAACCUUAGCAAUUGACGUUAGCGACAGAAGAAGCACCGGCUAACUCCGUGCCAGCAGCCGCGGUAAUACGGAGGGUGCGAGCGUUAAUCGGAAUUACUGGGCGUAAAGGGCACGCAGGCGGUUAAUUAAGUUGGAUGUGAAAUCCCCGGGCUUAACCUGGGAAUGGCAUUCAAGACUGGUUAGCUAGAGUCUUGUAGAGGGGGUUAGAAUUCCAUGUGUAGCGGUGAAAUGCGUAGAGAUGUGGAGGAAUACCGGUGGCGAAGGCGGCCCCUGGACAAAGGACUGACGCUCAUGUGCGAAAGCGUGGGGAGCAAACAGGGAUUAGAUACC
rnacentral:rRNA from 1 species